GAGGCCGAAUGCUGUAAUCAGACGGUGUCCGAUGCGCGCUUGCACGCUUGCUUGGAACACGCAUCGAGGUGAGGCCACCUGAUAUCGCCGGCGCCACACUGGUGGACCUCGGCGGCGUCGCAUGUACGCUCCGGAGUCGUUUUUUUAGAGUGAUAGCUCUACUACUCCAGGUACAAACCCAGAAAACGCCUCGUGCCGUCAGGCUCACCUUCAAGCUCAUCCAAGGUCAAACUGGGACUUGGCCUGCCACUACCGCGGCUGCUGCGUACGCCACGUGGGCGCCCAUAUCUUGGAAACCUAGCGCCAGGAGGAAGAUUCGAAAUGUGCCGACUCCUCGUUCUUCCUAGAGGAUGAUGUAUUUGUCAGUAAUGGGAAGGAAAGAGCUAAUGGUAUAACUAACACUGCAGUGCUUGUGUUAGUCUCAGGGAUAGCCAAAAAUUAUUCAGUCAGUCAGUCAUUCAUUUUUUUUUUUUUUUUGACAGGCGAUGGCGCAGUUCGCUCCACGUCCCUUCUUCUCUCGUUGAAACAGAUAAUCAGCUGGCUGAAGGCAUGUGGCCUCUUUGUGAAAGCAUUACUUUGCAAUCAGGGAGGCAGCAGUUGGGUCAUUGCAAGGACACUGGGCGUGAGUCCUCAGAGGCCUCUUUUUUUAUCAAGGAGGGAGUGAAUAUCUACUUUAUUUUUGAUAUUCCACUCUUGGUGAAAUGUAGUACAGGAACAAUUUGUGGAAGCAUGACCGCUACAUUGGUGAUAAAGUUGGUUCCUGGAGCCACGCUCCAACUUUAUAUGGCUCAACGCCUCACUUCAAACUAAAUUCCAACCUAAAGUGACUCAUAACCACAUCUAUGAAAGUGCGUUCGGUAAUAUGAGAGUAACAGGCUUCACAGUUGCUCAGCAACAGUGUCUAUCAUGUAAUGUGCUUUCACCAGAAGCCACGAGUACUGCCGAGGUUGUCGUUAAAUGAAUCAGUUGUUUGGUUCAUUAAGUAGUUGUUGUGUACGCAUCAAAGAGAUAAAAAUGAGUCAUGCAAUUAGUGAUUCCAUAAAGCACAUAGAAUUCUUAAAUCCUUGUACCUCAUGGAUUAAGUCCUGGAGGUUCAAAGCACCUAGGCACCCACGAAUCACACAGGGUUGGCAGGUAACUAUAAAAGCAAUUAUUUUGUUGUGAACGGACGCGCAAAAGUUCUUGAGCUUCAAAUUUUUGCUCGCUCUUCGGCUAAAUUAGGACGUCUUAGAGAACAUGUUUGGAAUUAUUCGGCAGCAGCAUGGCUUUAAUGAGACUUCCAACGCUUUUCACUUCGCUGCUGGUCUGACACAUAUCGUGGGAAAGCUUUUUAAGUUUUCAUACUGCAGCAAUUGUGAAACAGAUAAAGAACUACCUUUAAUUGAGCUAGAGAAACUAAGAUUUGUUCAAGAGAGCCCUGCUGCGACCAAGACCUCUAGCUCACACUUCUCGAAUUCUUUUUUAACGAGCACCGAAUAACCAACAGAUGUGCUAGCAUUGAACAUAGUUUGUUAGUGUCGGGAUUCCCAGUGCAAGCAUUUCUGAAAACAGCGUCAUGUUCAGAGUGUAAUUGAACAUAGUUUGUUAGUCUCGGGAUACCCAGUGCAAGCAUUUCUGAAAAGAGCGUCAUGUUCAUAGUGUAAAGACCUCUUAAAAGAUUACCACCAGGAACUAUCUUCACCAAGCCAAAUAUGCAUGAUGUUCGGAGCAGUGAAGGUACAGGACAAGACCCUCGGUAAUUUAACAGUGCCAACAGAAACAGAUUUCAAGUUUGUUACAAAAUUAGGAAUAUUAUUUUCUGCACAAAUAGGUACAAUUGCACAGUUCGACAGUGGAGACAUUGGUUUACUUUGUUGUGGAGGUGACCGAUGACCCAUUUUGCAGUGCGGAGUGUCGCAAAUUGUUCCUGCGAAUGUACGUUUACAUCAGGAUUCUCUGGUAUUUGAAAUUUAAAAACAGACAACUAAGCCAGGUAGUGACUUGGAAGUCUGCUUCAAAAUGAAAGCUGCAUAAAUUAUUUAAGAGUUCAUGUUUAUGCUUUAUGUAUUCGUAUACCCUAAUUGUUUUGCGCGAGAAGAAUAAGAGAUCAAAGGGGCUUAAGUGCUUGUUCACUUGGUUAGCUUCUUUGUCUGUUUUCUUCGAGAUUGUAACUAAUCUGUUUUGGUAUUUCGCACAGCAGUACUAUUACCGAUAAAUGUUUCUUCUUGCAUUUGCGCUGUGAAUUCAGGAUGUGGUUGUUUUAAGUAGCUCAAGCGCAUAGGUAAUGAUUAGACCAUCCCUAUUGGUUUCUAGGCACUUGCCGUGCUGUCGAGUGGGCUCUUUACCAAGCAAGGUGGGAAUUUUCCCAGCCCACUUGUCUGCGGUAAGUUACAGGCUGCAACGAAUUACUGAUAUUCUGGGCUGUUAAGUGCGCCUUUUGAGUCCGCCUAUAGCCCACUGCCUCUUCAGGAAGGAUAUGACUUGUGUGUUAAUUGAUAUCGUUUCAUUCAGGACGUCCGUUGUUAGGUUUGUUCUAGCUGCCUUGUUUUCACUAAUUUUGUGAUCAUUAAGAUUUUUCAGAAGUGUCAGUGACGAAGCUGCAAAAUCUGGAUUCAGCUAUAGUUCGACAGAGUAAUAUGACCAUCAAAAAGUUAAGAGGAGGCAGGCGACGGCUGCUGCGCCAUCAGCUGUUGCAUUCUUUCCGCCAAGUGACUCGGUGAAGUGUUGCAGCAAAGAUGCUGUAUAUAAUUGACACCCACGGUGACACGUAAAUUACUGAACACCUUAGUCGGGCGUGCGGGUUUGCAGCUCAGGUCUUCUUUCUGGUGCGUUAGCGCUACUGUUAGUUAUAAGCCACUUAUUUGCUAUGUAACCAGGUUGCUUAGCCUGCGUGUGCUUUUUUUUUUGUAAUAAAAUGAUUUUAAAGCUUACUCACUCUUCGCAGUGUGCGUUUGUGCCAGUUGAUCCCUUGAUGUCUCCUGGCAACUUCGAAUUCUGUCAGUAUUCCUGCUGGAAAUGCGAUAACAGCUGAACGAACAGCUUAAGCGUGGUGAUGUACCCCGUUGUAACGGCGGCGUAAUAAGCAAAACAACGGCGAGGUAUGGCAAUAAAAGCCAGUUCAAACCGUCCGUUAGGAAAUGAGCACAAUGCGUAGCGGUAGGGAACUCUGUGCAGCGGCCAUAAUACACACCUAUUUCCGUUUCCUGUUAUACAUCGCGCCAUCUCUUGGUCAUCUAUUUACGUUCGUGCCGCCGCCGCCGCUACGCUUAUUUUCGUUACUCUGUGAAGCGUGCAGUUUUCCUUCGCUACGCUGGUUGCAGGUGCAUGCUACACCGCAGUAUCUAAACCUUAGACACCCCGAAGCUAUCGCGCUACAGCACGUACCCGGCGUACACGCACAACUCUGGGCAUUGUUACCGAGGGAUGUCUUCAACGGAGCCGAGUUCUGCCUUCGCAUUGUCACUUAUAGAGCAGGCAGGGCGACUCCACGAAGAUUGCAAUGCCUGGCGAUGACAACCAACAGUCAACAAGCACACCUCAAGUCCUCGCAUAAGCCAAUAAUGGUGGCCCCUGUUCCGCGCAACAUACACCCGGAAUAUUCAUUAGGCAGGAGAAAAGCACGAGUCAAAGCAAUAGAGAGAGGUUACGACACUGUCCACUGCUCGCGGGACAGAUGCACUGCCAAGUAUCCGAAUGGGGAGGGCAUGGCAAUCAGCGUGACAGGGCACAGACACGAAGAACUGGCACCCGCCUCCGUUCGUACGACGAGGACCAUUGCCUUCGCGGUCUCGGCAUCGAGACAGGAUGAAGAAAUAUAUAUUCUCAGAUUGUCAAUCAGCAUUUCGAGCAUACGCGCAUGGCCAUCUGCAUAAAGUAGCAUGCGAUAUCCUCAACCGCCUCAACGAAAUACCCCGCGCCACGACAAUCUGGACACCUGCACACGAAGCUGUCAGCGGAAACCAUCGUGCACAUACGAUAGCUCGAGGCCACUGCAACCGGGCACGGCAAGAGACGGCACAGUACCCCGGUCCUCAAGCACUGCUCACCUGCCACGAAAUACUUCAACACUAUCGAAUUUCGAGAAGAACAAUGCCGCCACAUCACCCAUCCCUCACCAAAGGCCUGGAGGCAACUCCAGACCAACACUUAUAUCCUCACCUCACGCUCCUCCACGCGAUGUACCCCACCCUUUACAACUCCUUUGUCCUUUCUGUACAGAGCGGGCUACCAUAUACUUUACCAUAUGGGCCUGCCAAAAGAUCCCUAAUCACCCCUCCCCUCCACACACACGCACACACAUAGGCAACCGAAACGCAACGCACGAGCUGUGUGAGAUGAUGCCCACCGGCUCGAUUGGAAGAUCAGCGAAAGCUGAUCGUCAGAGCUGAAAGUGAUGCCACCGCCGCUGGGGAGUAAGGACAAUGCCAGUAAUCCAACAGUGCUAGAACAAGGUCAAGUGUGCGUGUUAGCAAAGUGGUGAUAUGACAUAGGCUUAGAAAAAAUUUUCUGCACCCGAUCUAUAAAUGUCACUGUUGGAUCUAGAGAUGCCAUUCCAGACGACCGACGCGUGUUCGAGUUGACAAAGACUGAUUGUUGCGCACAACUUGCGGAACGGUGCAGGAGAAUUGAAUUCCCUUGAUAACCUGUAAACAGAACUGAGAGAGCGCAUGCCCCGUAUUGCAACGCGUUUAGUGUGGGCAGAAAUAUGUAAGGUUGUAUCAAAAAGUACACAGAGAUCAAUGAUCUCACAAACUUUACACAAUGGUACAGAACCUACAGAACAAGAAAUAAAA